AGGAGCAACAGCCCUAGUGGCGGGGCCAGCUCUGGAGCCCUGGAGUCAGCCCCCGCAGGAACUCCAGAGCUCUCCGUCUGCAGGGCCUGGAGGCUCCGGGGCGGG
rnacentral:pre_miRNA from 1 species